GACGGAGGGUGCGAGCGUUGUUCGGAUUGACUGGGCGUAAAGGGCGUGUAGGCGGUCGGCCAAGUCUGGUGUGAAAGCCCGGGGCUCAGCUCCGGAAGUGCGCCGGAAACUAGCCGGCUGGAGCGCGGUAGAGGAGGGUGGAAUUCCUGGUGUAGCGGUGAAAUGCGUAGAUAUCAGGAGGAACACCGGCGGCGAAGGCGGCCCUCUGGACCGUUGCUGACGCUGAGACGCGAAAGCGUGGGGAGCAAACAGG
rnacentral:rRNA from 1 species